UACGUAGGGCGCAAGCGUUGUCCGGAAUUAUUGGGCGUAAAGAGCUCGUAGGUGGCGUGUCGCGUCUGCCGUGAAAGCCCAUGGCUUAACUGUGGGUCUGCGGUGGAUACGGGCAGGCUAGAGGCUGGUAGGGGCAAGCGGAAUUCCUGGUGUAGCGGUGAAAUGCGCAGAUAUCAGGAAGAACACCCGUGGCGAAGGCGGCUCUCUGGGACGGUGACUGACGCUGAGACGCGAAAGCGUGGGGAGCGAACAGG
rnacentral:rRNA from 1 species